rnacentral:rRNA from 1 species
UACGUAGGGUCCGAGCGUUGUCCGGAAUUACUGGGCGUAAAGAGCUCGUAGGUGGUUUGUCGCGUUGUUCGUGAAAACUCACAGCUCAACUGUGGGCGUGCGGGCGAUACGGGCAGACUUGAGUACUGCAGGGGAGACUGGAAUUCCUGGUGUAGCGGUGGAAUGCGCAGAUAUCAGGAGGAACACCGGUGGCGAAGGCGGGUCUCUGGGCAUUACCUGACGCUGAGGAGCGAAAGUGUGGGGAGCGAACAGG